rnacentral:misc_RNA from 1 species
AAAAGAAAAAGAAAAAGAAAAAUAUUUGAUAGGGUAAUUUGUUUUUGUUAUUUUGGUAGAGGUUGGACAAGGUUGAAAAGAUCGAGCAACGUAAGGAGAAUUCGAAAUUUAAGAUGAUAGAAAAUACAUAAUUAAUUCGUGUAACGAUUACUGUAAUUGCUUUAGUAGAAAUUGCUAUCGAUAUCGAAGAAGGGUGGAGGGUGGUGGUAGAGAGGAGGAGAAGGAAAGAGGUGGAGGAGGAGGGAGGAGUGAGAGUGUGAGGAAAUAUUGUGGGAAGAUGAUAA